CAGCAGCCGCGGGAAUACGUAGGGUGCGAGCGUUAAGCGGAAUUACUGGGCGUAAAGCGUGCGCAGGCGGUUGUGUAAGACAGGUGUGAAAUCCCCGGGCUUAACCUGGGAACUGCGCUUGUGACUGCACAGCUAGAGUAUGGCAGAGGGGGGUGGAAUUCCACGUGUAGCAGUGAAAUGCGUAGAGAUGUGGAGGAACACCGAUGGCGAAGGCAGCCCCCUGGGCCAAUACUGACGCUCAUGCACGAAAGCGUGGGGAGCAAACAGGAUUAGAUACCCGCGUAGUCCCUGUCUCUUAUAC
rnacentral:rRNA from 1 species